GGUGAGUUAGUAAGAGGGGGUGUGAAGAGUAAUUAAAGGAUCAUAGGUAUAAAAAGGAAAAAUUAGAAAGAGAGAUUCAUUUUAUCACAAAUCAGAGAGAAGGUGGAGCUUGAGAGAAGAAAGAAAAGAAAGCCUAGGUGAUGAGAAGAAAAAUCAAGAGAAGGAACAAAGUUUUCAACUUAAUCUAAGGUAAGAGGUUAGAAUCAUAAUCAUUAGAGAUAAGUUAAGGAGUGGGGAGAAGUGCUUCUUCUCCAGCCCAAACUCUCUUUAUCUCUAGUUGGGGUUUUGUAAGGGUUAUGGGAAUUUGUUUAAAUUCAAGUUUUAUGAAUUGUUGUAUGAUGAUAGAUGUUUACCCAUGCUUGAAUGAUGUUUUGCUAUGGCAAAAAUGAUUCAUUUAUAUCUUGAUUGUUGUUUUUGAUAAAUUUGUAGGUUUAUAUAAAAUGAUGAGAAUCCAUGAAUUAAUGACUUGUUUUCAUGAUUCAAGUUGAUUUAAGUUGUUUUUAGUCAUGUUAUAAGUG
rnacentral:lncRNA from 1 species